GAAUAAGCAUCUCCGACCCGGCAACAACUGCAGCACAAUAUUUGUCAUGAACUGCAUUCUUCCAAUUCUCAAUCAUGGUUAACUAUGGCGUCGUUCUACCGUUUGUUAUGGAUUAUUACUGGGUCGACCACAGUUGUACCGAUGUCUCAUGAGUAUGGUUUAUCAAACCGCAACGUCACCGCCUAACUAAAACAUGCGCAACAACCAGUUACCUCACCGAGGCCCACAAGUACUACUGCAAUCCCAGCUACACCACCGAGGCCACCGAGUACUAAACCACCGAGACACCAGAGUAUUACACCACAACCUACACUGCUCCAGCCUAUUACACCGAGGCUCCCAAGCACUACACCACCAGAGAACCGGAUACGCGACUACGUAUGCUCUCCCAGCUGACUACACCGAGUCUCCCAAGUAUUACUCUGCUCCAGCUUACUACACCGAGGCCCUGAAUACUACUCUGCACCCAGCUACUUACUCACAACUGAAGCGGCCGAGUAUUUGCAGUACUACUUACUACACAGCGGCUGCUCCUGCUCCAUCUAACUACGUUGAUCUGAAUUACUAAUCCGAGGUUCCAGUUUACUACACCGAAAUCUACGCUGCCCUCAGCUACUACACUGAAGCUCCUGUUUACUGCAACACCAAGACACCUGAGUAUUAUAAUAUAUUAGGCUUCUCCGACCUACUGUAACGAAGCUAUGAAGUAUUCCACUGCCCCGAGGUACUACACCAUUAAGGCACCUUCACACCAUCACAACCUUCGCUUCUUCAGUUUACUACAAGGAGGCUCUUAAAUACUAGAGCCGAAAUUUCUGAUUUAUUUGUGUUCAGAUUUGUCAGUCAUAACUUUAUUGGUUACAAGUCACUGGGAAUCGUUGUUGAUCUUAAAUGAGAAAAUAAACUUUUUAAUGGUAAA